rnacentral:rRNA from 1 species
UGAGUAAUGCCUAGGAAUCUGCCUGGUAGUGGGGGACGAACGUCUCGAAAGGAACGCUAAUACCGCAUACGUCCUACGGGAGAAAGCAGGGACCUUCGGGCCUUGCGCUAUCAGAUGAGCCUAGGUCGGAUUAGCUAGUUGGUGAGGUAAUGGCUCACCAAGGCGACGAUCCGUAACUGGUCUGAGAGGAUGAUCAGUCACACUGGAACUGAGACACGGUCCAGACUCCUACGGGAGGCAGCAGCU